rnacentral:rRNA from 1 species
GAUGAACGCUGGCGGCGUGCCUAAUACAUGCAAGUCGAGCGAACGGACGAGAAGCUUGCUUCUCUGAUGUUAGCGGCGGACGGGUGAGUAACACGUGGAUAACCUACCUAUAAGACUGGGAUAACUUCGGGAAACCGUAGCUAAUACCGGAUAAUAUUUUGAACCGCAUGGUUCAAAAGUGAAAGACGGUCUUGCUGUCACUUAUAGAUGGAUCCGCGCUGCAUUAGCUAGUUGGUAAGGUAACGGCUUACCAAGGCAACGAUGCAUAGCCGACCUGAGAGGGUGUCCGGCCACACUGGAACUGAGACACGGUCCAGACUCCUACGGGAGGCAGCAGUAGGGAAUCUUCCGCAAUGGGCGAAAGCCUGACGGAGCAACGCCGCGUGAGUGAUGAAGUUCUUCGGAUCGUAAAACUCUGUUAUUAGGGAAGAACAUAUGUGUAAGUAACUGUGCACAUCUUGACGGUACCUAAUCAGAAAGCCACGGCUAACUACGUG